rnacentral:rRNA from 1 species
UUGUCCUGUGACUGCGUACCUUUUGUAUAAUGGGUCAGCGACUUAUAUUCAGUGGCAAGGUUAACCAUCUAGGGGAGCCGUAGGGAAACCGAGUCUUAACUGGGCGUUCAGUCUCUGGAUAUAGACCCGAAACCAGGUGAUCUAGCCAUGGGCAGGUUGAAGGUUGAGUAACAUCAACUGGAGGACCGAACCGACUAAUGUUGAAAAAUUAGCGGAUGACUUGUGGCUAGGGGUGAAAGGCCAAUCAAACCUGGAGAUAGCUGGUUCUCCCCGAAAGCUAUUUAGGUAGCGCCUCGGACGAAUACUACUGGGGGUAGAGCACUGUUAAGGCUAGGGGGUCAUCCCGACUUACCAACCCUUUGCAAACUCCGAAUACCAGUAAGUACUAUCCGGGAGACACACGGCGGGUGCUAACGUCCGUCGUGGAGAGGGAAACAACCCAGACCGCCAGCUAAGGUCCCAAAUUACUACUAAGUGGGAAACGAUGUGGGAAGGCUCAGACAGCCAGGAUGUUGGCUUAGAAGCAGCCAUCAUUUAAAGAAAGCGUAAUAGCUCACUGGUCGAGUCGGCCUGCGCGGAAGAUGUAACGGGGCUAAGUAGUAAACCGAAGCUGCGGCAAUGUGCUUUUGCACAUUGGGUAGGGGAGCGUUCUGUAAGCGGUUGAAGGUGUGUGGUAACGCAUGCUGGACGUAUCAGAAGUGCGAAUGCUGACAUGAGUAACGAUAAAGGGGGUGAAAAACCUCCUCGCCGGAAGACCAAGGGUUCCUGUCCAACGUUAAUCGGGGCAGGGUAAGUCGACCCCUAAGGCGAGGCCGAAAGGCGUAGUCGAUGGGAAACGGGUUAAUAUUCCCGUACUUCUUACAAUUGCGAUGGGGGGACGGAGAAGGCUAGGUGGGCCUGGCGACGGUUGUCCAGGUUCAAGUGCGUAGGCUUAAGAGUUAGGUAAAUCCGGCUCUUUUUAAGGCUGAGACACGACGUCGAGCACCUACGGGUGUGAAGUCAUUGAUGCCAUGCUUCCAGGAAAAGCCUCUAAGCUUCAGAUUGUAAGGAAUCGUACCCCAAACCGACACAGGUGGUCGGGUAGAGAAUACCAAGGCGCUUGAGAGAACUCGGGUGAAGGAACUAGGCAAAAUGGUACCGUAACUUCGGGAGAAGGUACGCUCUYGAYGGUGAAGUCCCUCGCGGAUGGAGCURWYGAGAGUCGCAGAUACCAGGUGGCUGCAACUGUUUAUUAAAAACACAGCACUGUGCAAAAUCGUAAGAUGACGUAUACGGUGUGACGCCUGCCCGGUGCCGGAAGGUUAAUUGAUGGGGUUAGACUUCGGUCGAAGCUCUUGAUCGAAGCCCCGGUAAACGGCGGCCGUAACUAUAACGGUCCUAAGGUAGCGAAAUUCCUUGUCGGGUAAGUUCCGACCUGCACGAAUGGCGUAAUGAUGGCCACGCUGUCUCCACCCGAGACUCAGUGAAAUUGAAAUCGCUGUGAAGAUGCAGUGUACCCGCGGCUAGACGGAAAGACCCCGUGAACCUUUACUACAGCUUGGCACUGAACAUUGACCCUACAUGUGUAGGAUAGGUGGGAGGCUUUGAAGCACGUACGCCAGUAUGUGUGGAGCCGUCCUUGAAAUACCACCCUUGUAGUGUUGAUGUUCUAACGUCGACCCCUAAUCGGGGUUGCGGACAGUGCCUGGUGGGUAGUUUGACUGGGGCGGUCUCCUCCCAAAGAGUAACGGAGGAGCACGAAGGUGGGCUAAUCACGGUUGGACAUCGUGAGGUUAGUGCAAUGGCAUAAGCCCGCUUGACUGCGAGAAUGACAAUUCGAGCAGGUGCGAAAGCAGGUCAUAGUGAUCCGGUGGUUCUGAAUGGAAGGGCCAUCGCUCAACGGAUAAAAGGUACUCCGGGGAUAACAGGCUGAUACCGCCCAAGAGUUCAUAUCGACGGCGGUGUUUGGCACCUCGAUGUCGGCUCAUCACAUCCUGGGGCUGAAGUCGGUCCCAAGGGUAUGGCUGUUCGCCAUUUAAAGUGGUACGCGAGCUGGGUUUAGAACGUCGUGAGACAGUUCGGUCCCUAUCUGCCGUGGGCGUUGGAAGAUUGAAGGGGGCUGCUCCUAGUACGAGAGGACCGGAGUGGACGAACCUCUGGUGUUCGGGUUGUGUCGCCAGACGCAUUGCCCGGUAGCUAAGUUCGGAAUCGAUAACCGCUGAAAGCAUCUAAGCGGGAAGCGAGCCCUGAGAUGAGUCUUCCCUGAUA